rnacentral:rRNA from 1 species
UGACGACCAUAGCGUGCGGGAACCACCUGAUCCCUUGCCGAACUCAGCAGUGAAACCGCUCAGCGCCGAUGGUAGUGUGGGGUCU